rnacentral:rRNA from 2 species
ACCUUACCUACUCUUGACAUCCAGAGAACUUUCCAGAGAUGGAUUGGUGCCUUCGGGAACUCUGAGACAGGUGCUGCAUGGCUGUCGUCAGCUCGUGUUGUGAAAUGUUGGGUUAAGUCCCGCAACGAGCGCAACCCUUAUCCUUUGUUGCCAGCGGUCCGGCCGGGAACUCAAAGGAGACUGCCAGUGAUAAACUGGAGGAAGGUGGGGAUGACGUCAAGUCAUCAUGGCCCUUACGAGUAGGGCUACACACGUGCUACAAUGGCGCAUACAAAGAGAAGCGACCUCGCGAGAGCAAGCGGACCUCAUAAAGUGCGUCGUAGUCCGGAUUGGAGUCUGCAACUCGACUCCAUGAAGUCGGAAUCGCUAGUAAUCGUAGAUCAGAA